AUUGAACGCUGGCGGCAGGCCUAACACAUGCAAGUCGAGCGGAUGAAGGGAGCUUGCUCCUGGAUUCAGCGGCGGACGGGUGAGUAAUGCCUAGGAAUCUGCCUGGUAGUGGGGGAUAACGUCCGGAAACGGGCGCUAAUACCGCAUACGUCCUGAGGGAGAAAGUGGGGGAUCUUCGGACCUCACGCUAUCAGAUGAGCCUAGGUCGGAUUAGCUAGUUGGUGGGGUAAAGGCCUACCAAGGCGACGAUCCGUAACUGGUCUGAGAGGGUGAUCAGUCACACUGGAACUGAGACACGGUCCAGACUCCUACGGGAGGCAGCAGUGGGGAAUAUUGGACAAUGGGCGAAAGCCUGAUCCAGCCAUGCCGCGUGUGUGAAGAAGGUCUUCGGAUUGUAAAGCACUUUAAGUUGGGAGGAAGGGCAGUAAGUUAAUACCUUGCUGUUUUGACGUUACCAACAGAAUAAGCACCGGCUAACUUCGU
rnacentral:rRNA from 1 species